rnacentral:rRNA from 1 species
GANUAAUCGUGAAACCGCGAAUGGCUCAUUAUAACAGCUAUAAUUUACUUGAUCUUGACACAAUCCUACUUGGAUAACUGUGGUAAUUCUAGAGCUAAUACAUGCAUUAAAGCUCUGACCUCACGGGAAGAGUGCAUUUAUUAGAACAAAACCAAGCGGCUUCGGCUGUUUCUGGUUGACUCAUAGUAACUGAGCUGAUCGCAUGGUCUUGCACCGGCGACGUGUCUUUCAAGUAUCUGCCGUAUCAACUUUCGAUGGUAGUGUAUCUGACUACCAUGGUGAUCACGCGUAACGGAGAAUAAGGGUUCGGCUCCGGAGAGUUCGCCUGAGAAAUCGCGAACACAUCUAAGGAAGGCAGCAGGCGCGAAAAUUACCCACUCUCAGCACGAGGAGGUAGUGACGAAAAAUAACGAGACCGUUCUCUUAUGAGGCCGGUCAUCGGAAUGGGUACAAUUUAAA